rnacentral:rRNA from 1 species
GAUGAACGCUGGCGGCGUGCCUAAUACAUGCAAGUCGAGCGAACGGACGAGAAGCUUGCUUCUCUGAUGUUAGCGGCGGACGGGUGAGUAACACGUGGGUAACCUACCUAUAAGACUGGGAUAACUUCGGGAAACCGGAGCUAAUACCGGAUAAUAUUUUGAACCGCAUGGUUCAAAAGUGAAAGACGGUCUUGCUGUCACUUAUAGAUGGAUCCGCGCUGCAUUAGCUAGUUGGUAAGGUAACGGCUUGCCAAGGCAACGAUGCAUAGCCGACCUGAGAGGGUGAUCGGCCACACUGGAACUGAGACACGGUCCAGACUCCUACGGGAGGCAGCAGUAGGGAAUCUUCCGCAAUGGGCGAAAGCCUGACGGAGCAACGCCGCGUGAGUGAUGAAGGUCUUCGGAUCGUAAAACUCUGUUAUUAGGGAAGAACAUAUGUGUAAGUAACUGUGCACAUCUUGACGGUACCUAAUCAGAAAGCCACGGCUAACUACGUGCCGGCAGCCGCGGUAAUACGUAGGUGGCAAGCGUUAUCCGGAAUUAUUGGGCGUAAAGCGCGCGUAGGCGGUUUUUUAAGUCUGAUGUGAAAGCCCACGGCUCAACCGUGGAGGGUCAUUGGAAACUGGAAAACUUGAGUGCAGAAGAGGAAAGUGGAAUUCCAUGUGUAGCGGUGAAAUGCGCAGAGAUAUGGAGGAACACCAGUGGCGAAGGCGACUUUCUGGUCUGUAACUGACGCUGAUGUGCGAAAGCGUGGGGAUCAAACAGGAUUAGAUACCCUGGUAGUUCACGCCGUAAACGAUGAGUGCUAAGUGUUAGGGGGUUUCCGCCCCUUAGUGCUGCAGCUAACGCAUUAAGCACUCCGCCUGGGGAGUACGACCGCAAGGUUGAAACUCAAAGGAAUUGACGGGGACCCGCACAAGCGGUGGAGCAUGUGGUUUAAUUCGAAGCAACGCGAAGAACCUUACCAAAUCUUGACAUCCUUUGACAACUCUAGAGAUAGAGCCUUCCCCUUCGGGGGACAAAGUGACAGGUGGUGCAUGGUUGUCGUCAGCUCGUGUCGUGAGAUGUUGGGUUAAGUCCCGCAACGAGCGCAACCCUUAAGCUUAGUUGCCAUCAUUAAGUUGGGCACUCUAAGUUGACUGCCGGUGACAAACCGGAGGAAGGUGGGGAUGACGUCAAAUCAUCAUGCCCCUUAUGAUUUGGGCUACACACGUGCUACAAUGGACAAUACAAAGGGCAGCGAAACCGCGAGGUCAAGCAAAUCCCAUAAAGUUGUUCUCAGUUCGGAUUGUAGUCUGCAACUCGACUACAUGAAGCUGGAAUCGCUAGUAAUCGUAGAUCAGCAUGCUACGGUGAAUACGUUCCCGGGUCU